CAGUAGCCGCGGUAAUACGUAGGUCCCGAGCGUUGUCCGGAUUUAUUGGGCGUAAAGCGUGCGCAGGCGGUUAUAUAAGUCAGAUGUGAAAUCCCCGGGCUCAACCUGGGAACUGCAUUUGAGACUGUAUGGCUAGAGUGUGUCAGAGGGGGGUAGAAUUCCACGUGUAGCAGUGAAAUGCGUAGAUAUGUGGAGGAAUACCGAUGGCGAAGGCAGCCCCCUGGGAUAACACUGACGCUCAUGCACGAAAGCGUGGGGAGCAAACAGGAUUAGAUACCCGCGUAGUCCCUGUCUCUUAUAC
rnacentral:rRNA from 1 species